GCAUUCCUAAUGAGAUCCCAGGUGACA
rnacentral:piRNA from 1 species